UACGUAGGGUGCAAGCGUUAAUCGGAAUUACUGGGCGUAAAGCGUGCGCAGGCGGUUAUGUAAGACAGAUGUGAAAUGCCCGGGCUUAACCUGGGAACUGCAUUUGUGACUGCAUGGCUAGAGUUUGGCAGAGGGGGGUAGAAUUCCACGUGUAGCAGUGAAAUGCGUAGAUAUGUGGAGGAACACCGGUGGCGAAAGCGCCUUGCUGGGUCUGCACUGACACUGAGGGACGAAAGCUAGGGGAGCGAAAGGG
rnacentral:rRNA from 1 species